GUAGGUGAACCUGCGGAAGGAUCAUUACCGAGUUGAUUCGGGCUCCGUCCCGAUCCUCCCACCCUUUGUAUACCUACCUCUGUUGCUUUGGCGGGCCGCGGUCUUCCGCGGCCGCCCCCCGAUUUUGGGGGGUGGCUAGUGCCCGCCAGAGGACUAUCAAACUCCAGUCAGUAAACGUUGCAGUCUGAAAAAAAUAUUAAAUAAACUAAAACUUUCAACAACGGAUCUCUUGGUUCUGGCAUCGAUGAAGAACGCAGCGAAAUGCGAUAAGUAAUGUGAAUUGCAGAAUUCAGUGAAUCAUCGAAUCUUUGAACGCACAUUGCGCCCCUUGGUAUUCCGGGGGGCAUGCCUGUUCGAGCGUCAUUUCAACCCUCAAGCUCUGCUUGGUAUUGGGCACCGUCCUUUGCGGGCGCGCCUCAAAGACCUCGGCGGUGGCGUCUUGCCUCAAGCGUAGUAGAAUACACCUCGCUUCGGAGCGUAAGGCGUCGCCCGCCGGACGAACCUUCUGAACUUUUCUCAAGGUUGACCUCGGAUCAGGUAGGGAUACCCGCUGAACUUAAGCAUAUCAUAGGCCGGAGG
rnacentral:rRNA from 1 species